CCUACGGGUGGCAGCAGUGGGGAAUAUUGGACAAUGGUGGGAACCCUGAUCCAGCCAUGCCGCGUGUGUGAAGAAGGCCCUCGGGUUGUAAAGCACUUUCAGUGAGGAAGAACGCCUGGUGGUUAAUACCCAUCAGGAAAGACAUCACUCACAGAAGAAGCACCGGCUAACUCCGUGCCAGCAGCCGCGGUAAUACGGAGGGUGCGAGCGUUAAUCGGAAUUACUGGGCGUAAAGCGCGCGUAGGUGGCUUGAUAAGCCGGUUGUGAAAGCCCCGGGCUCAACCUGGGAACGGCAUCCGGAACUGUCAAGCUAGAGUGCAGGAGAGGAAGGUAGAAUUCCCGGUGUAGCGGUGAAAUGCGUAGAGAUCGGGAGGAAUACCAGUGGCGAAGGCGGCCUUCUGGACUGACACUGACACUGAGGUGCGAAAGCGUGGGUAGCAAACAGGAUUAGAUACCCGUGUAGUC
rnacentral:rRNA from 1 species